GACCUCAAAUCAGGUAAGAGUACCCGCUGAACUUAAGCAUAUCAAUAAGCGGAGGAAAAGAAACUAACCAGGAUUCCCCUAGUAACGGCGAGUGAAGCGGGAACAGCCCAAAUUUUAAAUCGAUCAAAAGGUCGAGUUGUAAUUUGAAGAAUUGCUUUCCACGUCUUUAUCCGAUGAAAAGUCCCUUGGAAUAGGGCAUCACAGAGGGUGAUAAUCCCGUAUUUUAUCGUGAUUUUGACGUCGUGUGUAGUAAUUUCAAAGAGUCGAGUUGUUUGGGAUUGCAGCUCAAAACGGGUGGUAAAUUCCAUCUAAGGCUAAAUAACGGCAAGAGACCGAUAGCGAACAAGUACCGUGAGGGAAAGAUGAAAAGAACUUUGAAAAGAGAGUUAAACAGUACGUGAAAUUGUUGAAAGGGAAACGAUUGAGGCCAGUCAUGCCUGCGAGAAAUCAAUCAUUUUAAUCGGAUUUUCGAAUUUGAUUAUUUGGUGCACUUUUUCGCGUGGCAGGUUAGCAUCAACUUUAAUGGUUGUAAAAUGGUGGUCGGAAUGUGACUCUAUUUUUUUAGAGUGUUAUAGCCGAUUGCAGAUGCAACGAUUGGGGUUGAGGUUUGCGGCAAAUGCCUUUGGGCUACUUACCUUCCUUCUGAUCUGUUCACUUUGGAAUGACAGCUUGCUGACAUUUUAAAGGGCGUUCAAUCAAUAGGGUAGAGUAUUGAUAAAUUUGCCAAGGAUGCUGACGUAAUGACCUUAAACGACCCGUCUUGAAACACGGACCAAGGAGUCUAACAUACGUGCAAGUGUUUGGGUGGCAAACCCAUACGCGAAAUGAAAGUAAAUGUAGGUGGGAUCUGUCGUUUUUCGGCAGUGCAGCAUCAACCGAUCCGGACAUUUAUUGAUAGAUUUGAGUAAGAGCA
rnacentral:rRNA from 1 species